GCAAGAUAUAGAUAGAAAGCAUGAUUUAGAACUGUAAGAAGGCAGGUGUAGAUGAUCAGGUUUGUGCCUACAGACCAGGUAUUAAUCCAAGCUGAACAAGGGCAACAAAACAUCCACAGGUGUAGAAGAUUUCUCUCAAAACUGGGGGGGUGAGGUUCUAAGCCUCACCUCUGUUGGCCCCCAUUUUCUCACCUGAUGGCCCCCCUGUGACUGUGCCUGUCUUAGGUUGUUCCUCCUGUGAGGAAUCUUACCCGUCUCUGGCUAACCAGCCAUCUUCCGGGGCCAUACAGGGAGAUGUAAAGCUGGCGAGAGAGAAGUAGUGUUCUUUGAAAAUAUUAGCUUUUCACUUCUUUGCAGAUUUAUGCCCUGUGGCUUGCAGGCCCAGCGCUUGACUUGAAGUAUUUUUACUUCUUGGAAAAUUAUGGUAUUUGGUAAUUUCACGUAUAGGUACGAAUUCUAAUAAAGGGCUGUAAUUAGGAAGGAAGAAGAAAAGCUAUAGAAGUAGCAAACAGAAGAAAACAUGAGAAGAUUGAUUAAGUGUCAGACAGGGUUUUUCUAUUCAGUAUUCCCCUAUAACUCUAUUUCUCUAAUUUUCUAAUAAAACUCAUCAUCACUAAUUUCACUAGCAUUAAAAAAUAAAAGAGGGGGGCAUUCCCACUUAGGUGGAGAUGGGGUAGUCAAUGUUUGACUAAAACUAACUGUAGGUUUCAGCAUUCUAUGCCAAGAUGGCCAUCUGGCCUCUGUGUGUUCUAUUCUUCAGGACCACUGUCCUGAAUAGCUUCUGGAAAGUUUAUGUUCUCCUCCUUUCCGUGCUGCUUAGCAAAGGUUAGCUUAGCCAUUGGCAACAAUGCAAGCAAAAACAAAGCCAAUAGUAUAAUGGAGAUUAACAAAAUCAAGGUGGGUAAUAGAGGGAGCCAGCUUCAAAGGCCCCUGCUUUCUGGGGGGUCUUCCUCCAGCCCGCGUUUUGCUAAACAGCUUGAGUAGCAUGGCUCCCAGAAAUCCCUUAUCUGUGGUGUACCCUGGUGAGCCCUCAUGCUAUUUUUAUUCUUUAGGUGUAGCCACACUUGAAUGGCCAAUGUAUGCUGUUGGUGGUCAUGAUGUAUCAAGUUACCUAAAUACUGUAGAAAGAUGGGACCCUGAGGGAUGUCAGUGGAUUUACGUGGCAGUAUGUCAACUCCUAGAAGCACAGUUGGCAUUGCUGCAUUAAACGGCAACUUUAUUAAACCAUAGUUGACUAAUGUUGGGAGCCGGGCUAUGCCCCUUCCCACACUUGCUGAUGUGGCAGGAAUGGAGAACAAAGAACAUCCCGUUUAUGCAUCCCAGGAGGAACUGGAGGAGCCCUGCUGUGCCUACCUUUGCCCGGCUACCGCUGACGUCAAUACUGGGCUUGAUUGUCUAUUGGAUAAUGCUAUUUCCUGGAAUAGUGUGCCUUCUUUGCUGUAUAAAUACUCUGGACCCUAAUAAAGCUUUGUUGGCAACGCAUUGGAGUGUCAACCCUCUCA